UGGGGAAUCUUGCACAAUGGGCGAAAGCCUGAUGCAGCGACGCCGCGUGCGGGAUGAAGGCCUUCGGGUUGUAAACCGCUUUCAGCAGGGACGAGGCCGCAAGGUGACGGUACCUGCAGAAGAAGCCCCGGCUAACUACGUGCCAGCAGCCGCGGUAAUACGUAGGGGGCAAGCGUUAUCCGGAUUCAUUGGGCGUAAAGCGCGCGUAGGCGGUUUGUUAGGUCAGGAGUUAAAUCUGGGGGCUCAACCCCUAUCCGCUCCUGAUACCGGCAGGCUUGAGUCUGGUAGGGGAAGGCGGAAUUCCAAGUGUAGCGGUGAAAUGCGCAGAUAUUUAGAAGAACACCGGUGGCGAAGGCGGCCUUCUGGGCCACGACUGACGCUGAGGCGCGAAAGCUAGGGGAGCGAACAGG
rnacentral:rRNA from 1 species